UACAGAGGGUGCGAGCGUUGUCCGGAAUCACUGGGCGUAAAGGGCGCGUAGGCGGCUUUUCACGCGUGCGGUGAAAGCUCGGGGCUUAACUCCGAGUCUGCCGUGCGAACAGGGAGGCUUGAGUCUGGUAGAGGUCGAUGGAAUUCCCGGUGUAGCGGUGAAAUGCGUAGAUAUCUGGAGGAACACCGGUGGCGAAGGCGGCAUCCUGGACCGGUAUUGACGCUGAGGCGCGAAAGCCAGGGGAGCAAACAGG
rnacentral:rRNA from 1 species